UAAUACGAAUGGAGCGAGCGUUGUUCGGAAUCACUGGGCGUAAAGCGUACGCAGGCGGUCUUGAAAGUCAGAAGUGAAAGCCCAGGGCUUAACCCUGGAAUGGCUUUUGAAACUCCAAGACUAGAGUACUGGAGAGGUUGGCGGAAUUCCGAGUGUAGAGGUGAAAUUCGCAGAUAUUCGGAGGAACACCAAUGGCGUAGGCAGCCAACUGGACAGUAACUGACGCUCAUGUACGAAAGCGUGGGGAUCAAACAGG
rnacentral:rRNA from 1 species